UACAGAGGCCACAAGCGUUAGACGGAAUCACUGGGCUUAAAGCGUGUGUAGGCGGGAUGGUAAGUACCUUGUGAAAUCCCACAGCUUAACUGUGGAAAUGCUUGGUAUACUGCCGUUCUUGAGUCACCUAGGGGCAGCUGGAACAGAUGGUGGAGCGGUGAAAUGCAUAGAUAUCAUCUGGAACGCCAAUGGUGCAGACAAGCUGCUGGGGUGUACUGACGCUGAGGCACGAAAGCCAGGGGGAGCAAACGGG
rnacentral:rRNA from 1 species